AGCUGGGGGGGACCGGCGGGAUGAUCACCACUCCUGAUGAUCUCUGAGCCCAAGUGAGGACGCAGGAGUUCUCUCAGAAUGAGACACCUUCAACUGCGCCCCACGUUGGGCGCCAUCUGCCACGGCCCGAGGGGAAAAGGGAAGGGGACGUGGCACCACACGAAAGGGUUCAGACGCAGCUGAGGGUCUGGGUGCAAUGCCAGUUUAUUAAGAGAACUCAGGGACUUAUACAGGACUCCUCCAUGUUGAUCUCCAGAAGCAUUUCAAGCUCGACACACAGAAGCUGUUUCUCCAUGAGCAGCUGUGGGGCAUUUGGCUGGUGGUUUCGACAGCAGGCAGCAGAGAUGAAUCAAGGACGUGGCAUCCGCAGUCAUGACCUGGAAUUUGAACUCUUUGGUGCCUCUCUCCUCCCAGAGGGAUGGAGGGGAGGCGGAAGAUCUCAGGAUCUUCUGAUUGCCAUCGAUCCAGCUGAUUUGCUGAGCACUGGCCUUGUAUUGUGUCUGUAUGCUCUUUGAGAGAUGAUUUCAGUCUGAAAAAAAGCCUGCUUUUUUUGCCAUCUGUGUGCAGAAUCUCCAGCAGAAAUUCCAAGAUCUGGAGUGAUUUCGUCCCAUGCCAUGAGAAGGAUCUGCUCUGCACACCUUAGGCCGUGCAAAAAGGAGAAAGAGAAGAAGGCAGAGCUUUCUGUGAGCUCUCUGUGAGCCUGAUCACUCAUCAAAGGCAGCUGCCUCCUGUGCUGACCUGAGGACGUGACAGAUGUCUGUAGCCUUUACAGGUGCAGGGCCUGCAUUUCAUCGAUCUUUUUUCCUUGGGUGACUUGGAGCAUGGAUUAUUAGCAGCUCGGAUUUCUUUGGCCACGGUACUUAGUUGUGUACACAUCCGGGUUAAAUCUAAGCAAUAUUUCUGAUCCAUGUAGGCUUCUGACUUGGUUCUGCGUCUUCGGUGUUUACAAAAUGAUCAACAUUUGAACUCUCCUGUUCUUUUCAUUAAAUGUCAGCAGAAACUUUUUUU